rnacentral:rRNA from 1 species
ACGCACGCUGGCGGCGUGCUUCACACAUGCCAGUCGAACGGAAAGGCCCUGCUUUUGUGGGGUGCUCGAGUGGCGAACGGGUGAGUAACACGUGAGUAACCUGCCCUUGACUUUGGGAUAACUUCAGGAAACUGGGGCUAAUACCGGAUAGGAGCUCCUGCUGCAUGGUGGGGGUUGGAAAGUUUCGGCGGUUGGGGAUGGACUCGCGGCUUAUCAGCUUGUUGGUGGGGUAGUGGCUUACCAAGGCUUUGACGGGUAGCCGGCCUGAGAGGGUGACCGGCCACAUUGGGACUGAGAUACGGCUCAGACUCCUACGGGAGGCAGCAGUGGGGAAUAUUGCACAAUGGGCGGAAGCCUGAUGCAGCAACGCCGCGUGCGGGAUGACGGCCUUCGGGUUGUAAACCGCUUUCGCCUGUGACGAAGCGUGAGUGACGGUAAUGGGUAAAGAAGCACCGGCUAACUACGUG